GUACUGUGAUGGCUGCAUCGUUCAGCAGAUUGGCUCCUGUGGAGAGGUACCAUUUGUCUGAUGUGUCU